GGGGGGGGGGACUUCAUCUAAUCCCUUUAAAUCUGCUGAUCAGGAAGAGAGAAAGAAAGAGGGUUUUCCUUUAGAUAUUGCAAAUCUGUAUGAUGAGAAUAACUAAUCAAUUUGUUAGUAAAAAGGGUGAAAAUAAAUAUGAACAAAAAGGGUAUAUUCAAUGAAUACCUAAGUCGAUGAAUGAAGAAAUGCAAGAUGAAUCCAAGUAAGACUUUAGAUCUCAAAAAAGAGCUUUUACCUUAGAGUAAGAAACAGAUCAGAAAGUUGUUCUUGUGGUUGGUUGAAUUGCUAGAAUGGAUUCAGUUAUUGUUAGUCAACUUCUUGCUUGGCUGUAGUACUGCUUUGAGCUAAAGAGGAACAAAGAUAAUAUUUUUUUCAUCAGAAAAGGAGACAUUCAAUUCAAAAGAUGAUAAUAAGAAAAGGGAUUGGAUGAUAAACAAAUUAGAGGAAAUUAAGUGCGACGACUUGCUCUCUGGUCUCUAGUAUACCACUGCUUUUUCUUUGAGUCAAUGCACAUUGCAAUUAGUUGACUAUCGCAAUAGGAAGUAGC
rnacentral:lncRNA from 1 species